rnacentral:rRNA from 1 species
UACAGAGGUCUCAAGCGUUGUUCGGAUUCAUUGGGCGUAAAGGGUGCGUAGGCGGCGCGGUAAGUCGGGUGUGAAAUCUCAGGGCUCAACCCUGAAACUGCACUCGAUACUGCUCUGCUUGAGGACUGGAGAGGAGACUGGAAUUCACGGUGUAGCAGUGAAAUGCGUAGAUAUCGUGAGGAAGACCAGUGGCGAAGGCGGGUCUCUGGACAGUUCCUGACGCUGAGGCGCGAAGGCCAGGGGAGCAAACGGG